rnacentral:rRNA from 1 species
AGAAUCAACGCUGGCGGCGUGCCUAACACAUGCAAGUCGAACGCGAAAGCCCCGCAAGGGGUAAGUAGAGUGGCAAACGGGUGAGUAACACGUGGGUGACCUGCCUUCGAGUGGGGGAUAACGUCCCGAAAGGGACGCUAAUACCGCAUGACAUCCUGCGUUUGGAAACGCGGAGAUCAAAGCCGGGGAUCGCAAGACCUGGCGCUUGAAGAGGGGCCCGCGCCUGAUUAGCUAGUUGGUGGGGUAACGGCCUACCAAGGCGACGAUCAGUAUCCGGCCUGAGAGGGCGGACGGACACACUGGGACUGAGACACGGCCCAGACUCCUACGGGAGGCAGCAGUGGGGAAUUGUUCGCAAUGGGCGCAAGCCUGACGACGCAACGCCGCGUGGAGGACGAAGAUCUUCGGGUCGUAAACUCCUGUCGAGCGGGAAGAACGCUUCCCGGGUGAAUAAUCCGGGGAGGUGACGGUACCGCUAAAGGAAGCCCCGGCUAACUCCGUGCCAGCAGCCGCGGUAAUACGGGGGGGGCAAGCGUUGUUCGGAAUUACUGGGCGUAAAGGGCUCGUAGGCGGCCAACUAAGUCGGAUGUGAAAUCCCCAGGCUUAACCUGGGAACUGCAUCCGAUACUGGAUGGCUUG